GAUGAACGCUGGCGGCGUGCUUAACACAUGCAAGUCGAACGAUGAAGCCCAGCUUGCUGGGUGGAUUAGUGGCGAACGGGUGAGUAACACGUGAGUAACCUGCCCUUAACUCUGGGAUAAGCCUGGGAAACUGGGUCUAAUACCGGAUAGGAGCGUCCACCGCAUGGUGGGUGUUGGAAAGAUUUAUCGGGUUUGGAUGGACUCGCGGCCUAUCGGCUUGUUGGUGAGGUAAUGUCUCACCACGGCGACGACGGUAGCCGGCCUGCGAGGGUGACUGGCCACACUGGGACUGAGACACGGCCCAGACUCCGACGGGAGGCAGCAGUGGGGAAUAUUGCACAAUGGGCGCACGCCUGAUGCAGCGACGCCGCGUGAGGGAUGACGGCCUUCGGGAUGUAAACCUCUUUCAGUAGGGAAGAAGCGAAAGUGACGGUACCUGCAGAAGAAGCACCGGCUAACUACGUG
rnacentral:rRNA from 1 species